rnacentral:rRNA from 1 species
AGAGUUUGAUCCUGGCUCAGAUUGAACGCUGGCGGUAUGCUUAACACAUGCAAGUCGAACGGAAACGAUACUAGCUUGCUAGUAGGCGUCGAGUGGCGGACGGGUGAGUAACGCGUAGGAAUCUGCCUGAUAGUGGGGGAUAGCCCGAAGAAAUUCGGAUUAAUACCGCAUAAUCUAUUCGUAGUAAAGUGGGGGACUUUCGAGCCUCACGCUAUCAGAUGAGCCCAAGUCAGAUUAGCUUGUUGGUGAGGUAAAAGCUCACCAAGGCUACGAUCUGUAGCUGGUCUGAGAGGACGAUCAGCCACACUGGGACUGAGACACGGCCCAGACUCCUACGGGAGGCAGCAGUGGGGAAUAUUGCACAAUGGGCGCAAGCCUGAUGCAGCAAUACCGCGUGUGUGAAGAAGGCCUUAGGGUUGUAAAGCACUUUCAAUAGAGAAGAAAAGCUUAGAGUUAAUAACUCUGAGCAUUGACGUAACCUAUAGAAGAAGCACCGGCUAAAUCCGUGCCAGCAGCCGCGGUAAUACGGAUGGUGCGAGCGUUAAUCGGAAUUACUGGGCGUAAAGCGCGCGUAGGCUGUUUUAUAAGUCGGAUGUGAAAUCCCCGGGCUCAACCUGGGAACUGCAUCCGAAACUAUUUAACUAGAGUAUGGGAGAGGUAAGUAGAAUUUCCGGUGUAGCGGUGAAAUGCGUAGAUAUCGGAAGGAAUACCAGUGGCGAAGGCGGCUUACUGGACCAAUACUGACGCUGAGGUGCGAAAGCGUGGGGAGCGAACAGGAUUAGAUACCCUGGUAGUCCACGCUGUAAACGAUGUCAACUAGCCGUUGGAAGGGUAAUCCUUUUAGUGGCGUAGCUAACGCGCUAAGUUGACCGCCUGGGGAGUACGGUCGCAAGAUUAAAACUCAAAUGAAUUGACGGGGGCCCGCACAAGCGGUGGAGCAUGUGGUUUAAUUCGACGCAACGCGAAGAACCUUACCUGGUCUUGACAUCCUACGAACUUUCCAGAGAUGGAUUGGUGCCUUCGGGAACGUAGUGACAGGUGCUGCAUGGCUGUCGUCAGCUCGUGUCGUGAGAUGUUGGGUUAAGUCCCGUAACGAGCGCAACCCUUGUCCUUAUUUGCCAGCAUUUAGUUGGGAACUCUAGGGAGACUGCCGGUGACAAACCGGAGGAAGGUGGGGACGACGUCAAGUCAUCAUGGCCCUUACGACCAGGGCUACACACGUGCUACAAUGGAGCGUACAGAGGGUCGCGACCCUGCGAAGGUGAGCUAAUCCCAGAAAACGUUUCGUAGUCCGGAUUGCAGUCUGCAACUCGACUGCAUGAAGUCGGAAUCGCUAGUAAUCGCGAAUCAGCAUGUCGCGGUGAAUACGUUCCCGGGCCUUGUACACACCGCCCGUCACACCAUGGGAGUGGGUUGCAAAAGAAGUGGGUAGUCUAACUUCGGAGGACGCUCACCACUUUGUGAUUCAUGACUGGGGUGAAGUCGUAACAAGGUAACC